UACAGAGGUGGCAAGCGUUGUUCGGAAUUACUGGGCGUAAAGGGCGCGUAGGCGGCCAUCUAAGUCAGACGUGAAAUCCCCCGGCUUAACCUGGGAACUGCGUCUGAUACUGGCGGGCUUGAAUUCGGGAGAGGGAUGUGGAAUUCCAGGUGUAGCGGUGAAAUGCGUAGAUAUCUGGAGGAACACCGGUGGCGAAGGCGGCAUCCUGGACCGACAUUGACGCUGAGGCGCGAAAGCCAGGGGAGCAAACGGG
rnacentral:rRNA from 1 species